rnacentral:rRNA from 1 species
UCCUACGGGGGGCAGCAGUGGGGGAUAUUGCACAAUGGGGGAAACCCUGAUGCAGCAACGCCGCGUGAGUGAAGAAGUAUUUCGGUAUGUAAAGCUCUAUCAGCAGGGAAGAGAAUGACGGUACCUGACUAAGAAGCCCCGGCUAACUACGUGCCAGCAGCCGCGGUAAUACGGAGGAUGCGAGCGUUAUCCGGAUUUAUUGGGUUUAAAGGGUGCGUAGGCGGAAUGCCAAGUCAGCGGUAAAAUCGCGGGGCUCAACCUCGCUCCGCCGUUGAAACUGGCGUUCUUGAGUGGGCGAGAAGUAU